GGCGGGGCCGUUGCGUCCUGACCGGGGCGUGGCCUUAUGGAAAUGAGGCCGCGGUGGGCGCGCUAGAAUUCUACCGGGCGGUAGAAUUCCCCGGGCUGUGGAAGUGCCCGAGCUGUGGCUCGGCUUGUCUGAGGACGACGUGUGUGGGUCAAAAGAAGAGGAGAGGUUGCAUUGAAAAGACUUUGGGGGAACAUAAUACAGUGGCUGUUACCUUGCUCUCCUUGAAUUGAUUUGCCUGUGCGGUCCUGCAGAUCAGAAGUCUGGAUGACGAGGCUGCUUCUCUGCUCACAGAAUUGAUGAGAGCCCGGCUGAGCCCACACUGGAAACAGAGGACCGAGGGAGCCGAUGGAAGACAGAAAAUCAGCAGGGGUGGAGCAUGAGAAUAACCCAGAGAAGGACAAAGGUAAUGGUGGAACGGUGGUUGCCCAAGGACCUGAGAAGACGGGCAAGUUGAGCUCAGAACAAUCUGGAGAAACUGAGGAAUGCGUACAGUAGCAUCCAAGUCUGCAAGGAGCAGCCUGAG